rnacentral:rRNA from 1 species
UACAGAGGCCACAAGCGUUAGUCGGAAUCACUGGGCUUAAAGGGUGCGUAGGCGGGCCCGCAAGCGUCCUGUGAAAGCCCUCGGCUCAACCGAGGAACAGCAGGGCGAACUGCGGGUCUUGAGGCAGGUAAGGGCCGGAAGAACAGUAGGUGGAGCGGUGAAAUGCAUAGAGAUCUACUGGAAUGCCGAUGGGGAAGCCGUCCGGCUAGGCCUGUCCUGACGCUGAGGCACGAAAGCGUGGGGAGCAAAC